rnacentral:rRNA from 1 species
GAUGAACGCUGGCGGCGUGCCUAAUACAUGCAAGUCGAGCGAACGGACGAGAAGCUUGCUUCUCUGAUGUUAGCGGCGGAGGGGUGAUUAACACGUGUAUAACCUACCUAUAAGACUGGGAUAACUUCGGGAAACCGUGGCUAAUACCGGAUGAUAUUUUGAACCGCAUGGUGCACAAGUUAGAGACGGUCUUGCUGUCACUUAUAGCUGGAUCCGCGCUGCAUCAGCUGCUUGGUAAGGUAGCGGCUUACCAAGGCAACGAGGCAUAACCCCCCUCAACGGGAGAUCCGCCACACUGGAGCUGAGAAGCGGUCCAGACACCGACGGUAGGCCGCGGUCGGGACUCUUACGCAAUGGACGAAAGCCUAACGGAGCAACGCCGCGUGAGUGCUGAACGACUUCGGAUCGUAAAACUCUGUUAUUAGGGAAGAACAUAAGUGUAAGUAACUGUGAACAUAUUGACGGUACCUAAUGAGAAAGCCCCGGCUAACUACGUG